AGAGUUUGAUCAUGGCUCAGAAUCAACGCUGGCGGCGUGCCUCAGACAUGCAAGUCGAACGAUUAAACUCUCCUUCGGGAGAGAUAUAAAGUGGCGCACGGGUGAGUAACACGUAGGUAAUCUACCUUUGAGUGGGGAAUAACGUUCGGAAACGAACGCUAAUACCGCAUAAUGCAGCGGCACCGCAAGGUGACAGUUGUUAAAGGAGCAAUCCGCUUAAAGAGGAGCCUGCGGCAGAUUAGCUAGUUGGUAAGGUAAUGGCUUACCAAGGCAACGAUCUGUAACCGACCUGAGAGGGUGGUCGGUCACACUGACACUGAAUAACGGGUCAGACUCCUACGGGAGGCAGCAGUCGGGAAUUUUGGGCAAUGGGCGAAAGCCUGACCCAGCAACGCCGCGUGAAGGAUGAAGUAUUUCGGUAUGUAAACUUCGAAAGAAUGGGAAGAAUCAAUGACGGUACCAUUUAUAAGGUCCGGCUAACUACGUGCCAGCAGCCGCGGUAAUACGUAGGGACCAAGCGUUGUUCGGAUUUACUGGGCGUAAAGGGCGCGUAGGCGGCGUGUUAAGUCAGCUGUGAAAUCUCCGAGCUUAACUCGGAACGGUCAGCUGAUACUGAUGUGCUAGAGUGCAGAAGGGGCAAUCGGAAUUCUUGGUGUAGCGGUGAAAUGCGUAGAUAUCAAGAGGAACACCUGAGGUGAAGACGGGUUGCUGGGCUGACACUGACGCUGAGGCGCGAAAGCUAGGGUAGCAAACGGGAUUAGAUACCCCGGUAGUCCUAGCCCUAAACGAUGAAUACUUGGUGUCUGGAGUAAUUUAAUUCUCCGGGUGCCGUCGCUAACGUUUUAAGUAUUCCGCCUGGGGAGUACGCACGCAAGUGUGAAACUCAAAUGAAUUGACGG
rnacentral:rRNA from 1 species